ensembl:lncRNA
CGGUCCAGCUGAGUCCGAGGUGGUCGGCUACUAUCGCCAUACGGAGGUCUGUUCUCUCACAGGGACUCUGAGGGCCUUCUGCUUCUCCGUGUCAGUAGCCGUGAUUGGUUGAUCAACCUUACUCCCUUCCUCCUUCUGCUCUUGCUCCUUCCCUCCAAGUGUCCGCCUACUCUUCCUCCUGCUCCUCCUCAUCCUCUCACUGCUGGCCUGCUCAACCUGAGCUCUCACAUCUCUAGCAGAUGGUGUUGAUGUGGUGGUGCUGGUGGUGGUGGAGGUAGAGGUGCAUGAAGGGCGGGAACUUCUAGAGGCUCUAGAGGGUUCUGACAUGGAAGUGUUCCUGGCAGUGCUGAGGCUGCAGCUCUCUUCGUCCUCAGUGGCCAGAGUUUUCCCCUCUAACCGUCUUUCAGCCUCCUUGGGAGCGGUUUGGUCCAAACGUUUGGCUGCCUGGCUAUGGGCUGCCCUCGUUUUACCCUUUUUGGAAACGACUGCAAUGUUUUUACGCCCAGUGUCACUUGUGCUUACCCUACAUGUGGUUUUCUCCGUGCUGAACCCGUGCUCAUUACUGGAUCUGCCUUUAGCUAGUGGUUUAUCAACCCUACUGGGUUUCAUACUUCUACCAAUAACCACAGACUUAGUUGGAACCUGCUUCUGCUUCAGGGGACAAGAGGACUGUUUCAUGGCUUUCAUUACAGGGAUUCUAGACUUAGAAAAUAAAUAAAAAGGGUCUAAUCUUUCCCUGACAUUGUGCAUUACAUGUUUCCUUGCUAUAAAUGUAUCAGAAUUGUCUUUUACAAUUGAGUGACUUUGACUGCAUAGUUUGCGCGUGAGCGCCCUGACUGGUAACCUGGACUUGCAUAACUUGAUAACUUUGACUUCUUUGGCUGCUGUGCUUGUUAUUGCUACAUUAGAAUCAGCCCCACCUUCUCUGCUGUUCUCCUCUAGCUGAUUGAAUGAUGCGUCUAUCCUACGGACCUCCUGCGUAGUGGGUCCCACGGAGGACAACAAGCUGAACACAACAUCGCCAGCCUGAAUGACAUCUGAACGAACGCAAUGGGAGUCAGCGUUGCCGCUCAAUGUUUGGGGAUUGCCAAUAUGUGUGGAUGGGGAGGAGAGAGAGUCUGUGCUUUGGUAAUGUGUGUGAUUUUCAGACGUCCAAUCCAAAUGGCUGGAAGUCCCUGAAGGAAUUCUGAGAUUUAAAUAAUAACCCGUGAGGCAUGAUGGUCCGUUAUUCAAACAGUUAUCUGUCAAGCCUGACGUAUCAAAAUAAUCUGUAUAGUUUGAGGUUGCAGAGUAAGAACUAUCUAUAGUUGUUCCUGAGGUUUUAUCAGAGGGAUCAAAGAUGCCUGAUUUCCUACAUUUAGAACUGCUAUUUGAAGCAUCAGAACUUUUAACAGAUGGAAACUUGAAGCCUGUUCUAAAAGUGGAGAAUUUAGGCUCAGUGUUGGAAGUUGAGUCUCUGCAUGUGGUGUAGCUGCCAGUUGCAUUUGAUAUCUCUAGUUGGACGGUAGUGGUCUGAAUGGAGACAUGAGGGACUGUUAAGGUAUCUAUAUGAUCCUGAAAUAUAAACUCAUCCCCAUGUGGUGAGGAGGCAUUCACCUCCGAGUCCCUGACCCUGUACCUGCCCGAUGAGUAGUUAUGCUCACCAAUCUGAAAAAACUGGAGCCUCUCCUCCACCAUGUCCCUCUUGCUCAUGUCAAUCGCACCACUGCGCGUCAUCUCAAACAUCUUCCCUUCAUGGAAGGGGAAUGGGUUUGGCUCGCUCGUUGGCGUGCUAUCGUCCGUUGGUGUUCGGGCUGGGGUCGUGUCUGGUGUCGUGGCCUGAGACUGGUCGUCCACUGCCAGUCCAAAAGGCUUAGGCUCACCAUUGCUUCCCCUCGUCCCGCCCAGGUCAACGACUUCUUCUUCUCCACCCUUACUGGGCCAGGGGUCAAAGUCCAGCCCCUUAGUGGCAACAGUCUUAAAAGUGGAAUUAAACUCCUCUUCUAACUUAUAACUAAAGUAAGUAUCUGAAAAUCCCUCCUUAUCCGACUUGUUUGGUUCCUGAAUUUUAGCCCCGUCGGGUGUUCCGCCAUUUAAGGGGGGUUCCUUUGUGAAAUUUUCCUUUUGAAUUUCCUCCGGGGUUUUCUCCUCUUCAAUAACUUCCAGUUUGGUGGGAGGAAAAGAGCGGUCAGUGGACCUAUACGUGUCUGUCGCCCAGACGUCCCUCCGGCUGUCUGGAAGACCAAUCUGACAUAAAUCUGCCUGCUCGCACAGGCCGUCAUCCUCAUCCUGAAGUUCAUAUCCAUCUAGGGAGUCAAUUUCUGUUGCAUCUGUGUCAUGAGAAAAUUCGGCCGUUGUUGCUAUUGAACAGUCCGUGAUUGACUGGUCAUUUCCAUUCUGUUCAUAUUCGUAGUCCUCUCCUUUUCCAUUAGAACCAUUGGAGCCAUUGGUGCCACCAUUGGGUUCUUUGUUGUUUCCAUUUUUGUCAUGUUUUUUGGAUUUAGAUGCCUUCUCCUUCUCCUUCCUCUUGUCCUCCUCCUCCUCAGAAUCUUUCAGUUUCCUACAAGGAAUGGUUUGAAAUAUUGACUUGUCAUUUGACUGACUGUCAUCUUCCCCCGGGGACACUGGGGUAGGGGGUUGGAUACGUAUAAUUGGUUCGGUCAGCAGGUGCUUGUCAUGUUCUUCCUGUAAGUUCACCUCCAUCAUAUCUGUCUCAGUCUCUGAAGAGCCGCAGGAACCUUUCCUCUCAGUGUCAGACAUUUCUGAAGCAGAGUCCAGAGGAGGAGGCGGAGGGAACUCAAUAUAUGCAAUACCUUUGUCUUUUGAGAUCUCUUGGUGCUCCUUCUUGGCCAUUUCAUCAUGCAUGCCAUUGACUGAUGUGUCUUGCUGAUUGAAAUUAUCAGGGAACUCUUGGUGUUUGUCAUUACUCUUUGUUUCUUGUUCAUUAGCAUUAGCCAGGUCUUCUUGUGUGCUGUGAACAGUAGUUUUGCUUUGUGGUAGGACCUCUUUGAAGGAGAAAACAACUUUGCUUUGUUCAUCUUCCUCUGAUUCUUCUGACAACUCGAUAAUUGGGCUGUGUUUCCCAAGCAUGAAUUCCAUGAAGCCAUCAGGGGUCCUGGCCGUGAGGUCGUAGCUGACCUCCUCAGAGCUGGGGGUCUCUGGUGUAAGGGGGCUUUUCCCUGAGCUAUCUAUGAAAGACACCUGUUCUAGAGUGUCAUCAUCUGGGCUUAUGGGGCUGAGUGCUGAGUUCUGUUUGACCGUGCACAGUGCUCCUUUGGCUUCCCGCUCUCCCUGCCUUCCCACCUGGACACUAUUAUAAACGGGUAACGUUUUAAUGCCCUUGAAGUUCUCUUUGGUUGUUGUAGCAGCUGGGGGGGUUAUGAUUUUCUCCAGUGUUUCUCUAGGGCUAGAAAGGUUAUUGGAGUUGGAAUCUUUGAGUGCAUUAUCUAGAAUUUCAAGGGUCAGAUUUUCGUCUGUUUUGGCACGUAUUGCCUGUAUUUUGUUCUUAGAUAAUGUAGGUAUCUGUGAAGGUUUAGUCAUUGUCUGUUUCUUAGUCAAUUCAUUAUCUAAAGUGGAAGGCGACAAUACAGGAAUUCGGGUUUCUGUCUUUUUUCUGAGAUUUUUGUUUAGGGAUUCUUCUGUUUCUUUUCUCAACCCCUCAGAUAUGACUUCCCUGGAAGCAGACUCACUUUUUGUGAGUUGUUGGCUGUUUUUACUAUCACUUUCCUUCACUAGUAGUCGGUCCGUAUCAUGGACAACAGCUGCCUGACCUCUCUGACCUUUAUUACUUUCUUUAAAAUCCUGAAUAACCGUAGAAUUAAUGUCUUUUCCUCUACAGCCGGUUUCACUCAUUUGUUUUUGAAACAAAGGCUCUGGGAUGUUUUUGUUUGGAGACUUGUCUUCUGAAUGUUUUGGAGUUUUAGAUGUUGAUGAUAUCAGAUCAGGUUCACUGGUUUCUGUGGCAGCACGUGUGUCCUUCUCAUUGUCCUUUUUUGGGGUUACCUUUUGUGAUGUUUCAGAUACUUUUGACGCUUUUGCUCCUGCAAACUGGUAAACAGGAAGUUUGCUCUCCUGCAAUUUCUUUAUUGAAGGUUUUGGCUGUACUUGAGGAGGAGUUUUAGUUGGACUAGAUUGAUUUGUUUUUUGAGCCUCAGAUUCAAACUUCAUCCUAACGGCACUGACUUUAGAUGUUGGUUUUACAUGAGCGGGAGAAGAGGGUUCAGACUCACUGGUCUUAGUUUGAGGUUUCAUUUGAUCCUCACUGAUAUGAUGGAGCAUGCUUUUCUGGGGACUGCUUGGUAAGCUGGAACUUUUCUUUUCGGUUGCACUACCAAACAUUCUAUUAACAGAAGGCUCCCUAAGUUUGCUCUUACUGCCCCCCUCUUCUGCUUUAGGUUUCUGCUGUGUUUUUUCUGGGGUACUGCAGACUGAACUAGGCCAGGACCGGGGUUCCUUCGGCUCUCGUCUCACAGGCUUUUUCUCGGGGGACUGCAACUCAUCAUUGAGCUUCUCCGUUUUGUCACGGAAGAACUGUGACACCUCACUGAGUUUUUCUUCAGCCUCCUUUACAGAUUGAUCCACCCUAUCCUCAUAAAGGAGCUUAUCUCUGCCCCUGUCAUGUUUAUCCUCUGUAAAUCUCAUCCAAACAGCAUGUUUAGGGCUGCCCUGCUCUGUGGAGUAAUGCAGCACUGUCACCUUAUCAAACUGAGAUGGAUCGUCUCUGUGCACAAACUUACCAGACUUAGGGGAUCCAUCUUUUGAAGACUUAGAAACAAACUCUCUUUUAGGGCUUCCAUGCUGCUGACUCUCAUUGCUACGACUACCACCACUCUCAUCAGAAAUGAGGUGGUGCUUUCUGUCAGCCAUCAUUGCUGAAUCCUCUGUGUCAGAGUGAGACAGCGGUGAUGCGUCAAGUUUUUCGGAAAGAAGCAUUUUCUCAGCAUACCUGUACGACUCGCCUCUGAUUUCUGAUAGCUCAUCGUCACAAUACUCUAUGGAUUGCUGGCUCAAUAGUUUCAGGGCUUUGUAAGAAUCGUCUGCUAUCAGCUGGGCAGAAUUUGGGCGACUGUCCUCCUCCUGUGAAAGAGGGGUGUUAACUCGAGAUGUUUCUAGGAAGGAGGGCAGAGAUUCUUCUGCAUUAAGUUCUUCUUCUUCCCGUUGUGCCUCAUCGUAAUCAGUAAGUUCCCUAAUUCCAUGGUCCCCCUUGUACACGUAAAGCUCAGGGUGUUUCUUGGCUUCCCUGAAAAUAACCUCGGUCGGCUCUGCUGCGCUGUGGCCCUUUUCGAUAUGAACCUCAAUUAUUCUUUCAACUUUGGGUUUGGAUUUAAUGUCUCUGUCGAGAAAUCUAGGAGUCAGCUCAUCACCUUUUACAGAAUCCUGGUUAGCUUUGUGCUCAAAGAGGCCUGCUAGUUCUUUAGAUGGGUCCCUGCCUGACUGGAAAGCUUUCAUGAUAUCCCUAACUGACAUACCUUCCUCUAUCAUCUCUGCACCGUCAGUGAGUUUGGGCUUGUGAUAAACCAUUCUAGUUGUAGUAGUGAUUUGAGUUUCCUCUUUAAGACACACGCUUUUGCUCAUCAUUGAGUCCUCCUCUGGUAUUUUCAUCUGCAGGGCUUUCAGAGAGCUUGUUGAAGCUCCAUCUGGCUCUAUAGAAGGAAGAGCACAUGCAGCCUCCCCCAUGAGUAAAGGCUCAAAAGGAUCAUCAGGCAGCUCAUAGCUCCUAAUGUGGACUUCCGUCCUGGUCUCACUCACGCAGGGCGGUAUGGGUGAAUCGGUGAAUAAAGGCUUGGGUCCUGUGCUCUCGGCACUCUGAGGAGCAGAGGGUGUUUUUUCACUCCUGGUCUCGAAGCCGCUGUCCGACAGUGGACUCUUAUCCUGCUCAUGGGAAAGAUCCUCGGGUGACUCCAAAAUAGUGUCCGUCCCCUGAUACGAUUCAGCAAGUUUGCUCAGGUCUUUCUCUGAGGGAGACCGGAGCAUGCCGGAAACAGGUGGAGGCAUCUUGAGUUUGUGCUCUUGUAUCGACAUGGAUGGUUUAAGAACACGUUUCUGUUUCUCUUCCCCUUCCCGCUUUGCCUCCUCCUCGUACCUACACUUUAACUCAGCCAUUCUGGAAAGUGAGCUAGCGCCCAUGUCAUUUGUUAAAAAUUCUAUUACUUUAGCCAACUCUAACUCUUUGCUCGACAUGGACUGCUGCUUGAGGAGGAGUGUAUGUUCAUCAAAAGGAGGGUAAUGGUCUGCGAGGGAAUUACUUUGUGCCUCCUCAAUCUCGUCUUUGGAAAACUCUUCCCAUUCGUCCUCUGAGGCUCUUUGCUUACCUGCAACGGCCUUCCCUUCACUCUUGACAUCUUUCUUUAAUAUAUUACUUACUUUCACUAAAUCUUCCUUCACUUUCUCCACUAGACUAAAAGGUUCCUCAUCCUCUAACUUGGCCUCUUUUGGAGUGCCAGUAUGUGAUGUUUGAACGGUUUUAGCUGCUGUCUGUGUGUCUGUCUGUAGGAUGGCCGUCAUUCUGAUCAGGUCCUUCUUCAUGUCCGCCACAUCUUUUAGUAUCUCCUGGUUGGUAGUUCCAGUUGGGUGGAUGAUGGGUGGUGUGAUGAAUGGAGGGGAUUUCAUUUGGGAGUUUAUUUUUGAUGAGGUAACGCAGGAAGACAUAGAGGAAGAGGAAAAAGCAUGAGAAGAAUCAGGCAGCGACAUUUUUAGGGAUCCGGGCCCUGGUUUGGCAGAUGUCUCUGGAAUGACGUUGAUUAACGAAAACACAGGUACUGUCACCGUGUUAGAAGGAACCACCGAGCUGGAGGAGGCGGCAACUGAUUUGAGAGGCCGGUAAGCACCGCUUGUUGCUGCAGACUUACGCGGGGAAGAAAGAGAUCUAAGAGUGCUGUAGUUCGACGCAGAAUACGAGUCUAUAGCUUCAUUUAUGGCUGCGCUGACACCAGUGGUCGCUGCCUGGGUGGUGGCCUGGAUCCUCUCUUGAAGGCUGCUACUUCUCUCGGAGAGAUGGCGAGAAGAAGGAGAGGAUGGCGUGGAGGAGGAGGAUGGGUAUUUUACAGGAGAGACCGAUCCGUUCCUCAUGGACAACUCUGAGGAAGCGAUGGUUGUCUGCCCAGUUGAGGAGAGCGACGAGAUCGACGACCUCCCUCCUCUGGAUGAUAGUGUUGAAUCUACAGAGGUUUUCAAAGACGACAUGUUGGACGUGCUUUUAACAGAAGAAAGGUGAGGUGCGCUGGCAUCUGUUGUAAUUGUGGACCCAAGGGAAGUUUUAUAAAACCCCUUUGGCGAUGCUGGAGCAGUAAUAGAGACUGAUGGCCUCUCUGAUACAGAACCAUUAGGUAUCGAGUGCAGUGGGGAAGUCCUUGAUGUGUAUGCUGAAGCAAGGUUUUUGAUAGAUAAUGGAUCUGUUGCAGGUUUAUAUGGGCUUCCAGGGGACACAACGCUGGCAGACCCCUGGACAGGGUACUGACCCAGCUGGACAACUGUCUUUAUGGGUGAGGGCAUAGUUCUAUAAGACCUGAUGGGGGAUGAAGACAUUAAGUCACUGACAGAUUUUACUGGGGAAGACUCCAAGGUGGCAUCCAUUGUUGCGGCGCAUGCGGGCGAUGGGGAGGACAGGGGCCAGGACGUUUUCAAUGGAGAAGCAGCUGGUGAGCCUGCCGGUGAAUCGGUACAGGUGAGGGGACCCCCCACUCCGACGGGCCUUGUUUGGCCAGGGACGGUAAUAGGAGCAGUCGACCAUGGUGAGUAAGUUCGGGUUGGAAAGACAGGUUUGUGAGGGUAACCAGCAGGCAGUGUUCUUGCUGUUGUGCUUCGCUCAACUGCAGUUUCUUCAGAUGGAUUUGUAAAAAUAAUGAAG